rnacentral:rRNA from 1 species
GACGAACGCUGGCGGCGUGCUUAACACAUGCCAGUCGAACGGAAAGGCCCUGCUUUUGUGGGGUGCUCGAGUGGCGAACGGGUGAGUAACACGUGAGUAACCUGCCCUUGACUUUGGGAUAACUUCAGGAAACUGGGGCUAAUACCGGAUAGGAGCUCCUGCUGCAUGGUGGGGGUUGGAAAGUUUCGGCGGUUGGGGAUGGACUCGCGGCUUAUCAGCUUGUUGGUGGGGUAGUGGCUUACCAAGGCUUUGACGGGUAGCCGGCCUGAGAGGGUGACCGGCCACCUUGGGACUGAGAUACGGCCCAGACUCCUACGGGAGGCAGCAGUGGGGAAUAUUGCACAAUGGGCGGAAGCGUGAUGCAGCAACGCCGCGUGCGGGAUGACGGCCUUCGGGUUGUAAACCGCUUUCGCCUGUGACGAAGCGUGAGUGACGGUAAUGGGUAAAGAAGCACCGGCUAACUACGUG